rnacentral:rRNA from 1 species
GACGAACGCUGGCGGCGUGCUUAACACCUGCAAGUCGAACGGAAAGGCCCUGCUUUUGUGGGGUGCUCGAGUGGCGAACGGGUGAGUAACACGUGAGUAACCUGCCCUUGACUUUGGGAUAACUUCAGGAAACUGGGGCUAAUACCGGAUAGGAGCUCCUGCUGCAUGGAGGGGGUUGGAAAGUUUCGGCGGUUGGGGAUGGACUCGGGGCUUAUCGGCUUGUUGGUGGGGUAGUGGCUUACCAAGGCUUUGACGGGUAGCCGGCCUGAGAGGGUGACCGGCCACAUUGGGACUGCGAUACGGCCCAGACUCCUACGGGAGGCAGCAGUGGGGAAUAUUGCACAAUGGGCGGAAGCCUGAUGCAGCAACGCCGCGUGCGGGAUGACGGCCUUCGGGUUGUAAACCGCUUUCGCCUGUGACGAAGCGUGAGUGACGGUAAUGGGUAAAGAAGCACCGGCUAACUACGUG